rnacentral:rRNA from 1 species
UACGUAGGGUGCGAGCGUUAAUCGGAAUUACUGGGCGUAAAGGGUGCGUAGGUGGACGCAUAAGUCGGAUGUGAAAUCCCUGGGCUUAACCUAGGAACUGCAUUCGAAACUAUGAGUCUAGAGUAUGGUAGAGGUAAGUGGAAUUUCCGGUGUAGCGGUGAAAUGCGUAGAUAUCGGAAGGAACAUCAGUGGCGAAGGCGACUUACUGGACUGAUACUGACACUGAGGCACGAAAGCGUGGGGAGCAAACAGG